CCCUACGGGGGGCAGCAGUAGGGAAUUUUCGUCAAUGGGCGCAAGCCUGAACGAGCGAUGCCGCGUGAGUGAAGAAGGCCUUCGGGUCGUAAAGCUCUGUUGCGGGGGAAAAAAGGCAGCAUCAGGAAAUGGGUGCUGACUGAUGGUGCCCCGCCAGAAAGUCACGGCUAACUAUGUGCCAGCAGCCGCGGUAAUACAUAGGGAGCAAGCGUUAUCCGGAUUUAUUGGGUGUAAAGGGUGCGUAGACGGGAAAUUAAGUUAGUUGUUAAAUCCCUCGGCUUAACUGAGGAACUGCAACUAAAACU
rnacentral:rRNA from 1 species